rnacentral:rRNA from 1 species
AUUGAACGCUGGCGGCAUGCCUUACACAUGCAAGUCGAACGGCAACAGGUUAAGCUCUCGCGCUUACGACGGGCGAGUAAUGUAUGGGUACGUGCUCCGUCGUGGGCUACAACUUCGUGAAAGAUCACCUAGUACCGCAUACGCUCUUACCGCGUAAGCGGUGGAUGGGAAAACCUGGCGUCAUCGGACCUUGCGCUAUUAGAUUAGGUAGUUGGUGAGGUAAAGGUUCACCAAGCCGACGAUCAGUAGCUGGUCUGAGAGGAGGAGCAGCCACACUGGGACUGAGACACGGCCCAGACUCCUACGGGAGGCAGCAGUGGGGAAUAUUGGACAAUGGGCGCAAGCCUGAUCCAGCCAUGCCGCGUGGGGGAAGAAGGCCUUCGGGUUGUAAAGCGCUUUUGUCAGGGAAGAAAAGGUUCUGGCUAAUACCUGGGUCUCAUGACGGUACCUGAAGAAUAAGCACCGGCUAACUACGUG